GUGAAGAACGUAGCGAAAUGCGAUAAGUAAUGUGAAUUGCAGAAUUCCGUGAAUCAUCGAGUCUUUGAACGCACAUUGCGCCCCCUGGUAUUCCGGGGGGCAUGCCUGUCCGAGCGUCAUUGCUGCCCUCAAGCACGGCUUGUGUGUUGGGCCUCCGUCCUCCUCCCGGGGGACGGGCCCGAAAGGCAGCGGCGGCACCGCGUCCGGUCCUCGAGCGUAUGGGGCUUCGUCACCCGCUCUUGUAGGCCCGGCCGGCGCUUGCCGACACAUCAAUCUUUUUUCCAGGUUGACCUCGGAUCAGGUAGGGAUACCCGCUGAACUUAAGCAUAUCAAUAAGCGGAGGA
rnacentral:misc_RNA from 1 species